rnacentral:rRNA from 1 species
UUCCGCAAUGGACGAAAGUCUGACGGAGCAACGCCGCGUGAGUGAUGACGGCCUUCGGGUUGUAAAGCUCUGUUAAUCGGGACGAAAGGCCUUCUUGCGAAUAGUUAGAAGGAUUGACGGUACCGGAAUAGAAAGCCACGGCUAACUACGUGCCAGCAGCCGCGGUAAUACGUAGGUGGCAAGCGUUGUCCGGAAUUAUUGGGCGUAAAGCGCGCGCAGGCGGAUAGGUCAGUCUGUCUUAAAAGUUCGGGGCUUAACCCCGUGAUGGGAUGGAAACUGCCAAUCUAGAGUAUCGGAGAGGAAAGUGGAAUUCCUAGUGUAGCGGUGAAAUGCGUAGAUAUUAGGAAGAACACCAGUGGCGAAGGCGACUUUCUGGACGAAAACUGACGC